UACGGGGGGUGCGAGCGUUGUCCGGAUUCACUGGGCGUAAAGGGCGCGUAGGCGGCCGGGUCAGUCGGGCCUGUAAGUGCGGGGCUCAACCCCGUGAUGGGCUCGGGACGGCCCGGCUGGGGCGCGGUCGAGGGAGACGGAAUGCCGGGUGUAGUGGUGAAAUGCUUAGAUAUGACAUAGAACACCAAUUGCGAAGGCAGCUUACUACACAGUUAUUGACACUGAGGCACGAAAGCGUGGGGAUCAAACAGG
rnacentral:rRNA from 1 species